UAUAGCGCGAUCGAAAAAUCUUGGUUCUUUGGUAAGAAAAAUAUUUUAUUUUGUUGAACUAAUGGGAAACAAAAUGAAGAUGUUUUUAGCAAAGAAAAGAAAACGCAAAAAUGUAGAAAAUUUGGAAAGUUUGGAAAAGGCAAGAGAGGCUAAAAUGCAAUAUAAAAGUAAAUCAACUGAAGAAACAAUAACGGAAAAAGAUGAAUGUGAAAACCAACACGCAGAAAAGGUACCUUUCGUAUUUGAAUAGCAGUAUUUUGACCGACUUCCGAAGUUUAGUACAGUUAAUAGAAUAAUAUGUGCUAGUUUCAUGCCUAAAUCAUAUCUAUCUGCAAAGCUGAAAGCUAUAAGAAAACCUGAAAGUUUGCCUGUUUGUGACCUCUACAGAGAAAAGAACGACCAACAACUAUGGAGUUUUGGCCGCGAUUACUUAAGGAGGUAUCC